UACGUAGGGGGCAAGCGUUGUCCGGAUUUAUUGGGCGUAAAGAGCGUGUAGGCGGUUAGGUAGGUCCGUUGUGAAAACUCGAGGCUCAACCUCGAGACGCCGAUGGAAACCAUCUAACUAGAGUCCGGAAGAGGAGAGUGGAAUUCCUGGUGUAGCGGUGAAAUGCGCAGAUAUCGAGAAGAACACCCGUGGCUAAGGCGGCUCUCUAGUACGGUACUGACGCUGAGACGCGAAAGCGUGGGGAGCGAACAGG
rnacentral:rRNA from 1 species